AUCCAGCUGACGAUUCCCAGAUAGGACGAAACGCGCGUCAAACUGGAU
rnacentral:hammerhead_ribozyme from 1 species